AAGGUCCCCAGGGGAAGUGUGCGAUGGAUGAGUCCCCUUGCCUCACCCCAUCUGAUGACUGUUAGCAGCUUCACACCCGGAUCUAGGAGCCAGCUAACAGAAGAAAUCCAGAGGAGAGGGAAAAGUGUUGUGUUUUUGAAGAACAGUUGAACAGGCCAGACAUCUUCAGCCUGUGAGGUGGCUGAGGAGAGACAUAGCAGAAGUCUAUAAAAUCAUGAGUGGAAAAAAUGAAUUGGUUGCUGCUCUUUCACCUGUUCCAGAAAAAGCACUUUCAGAAGAAACCAAAGGUGAAAACGUCGUGUCACCUGGGCAAAGGAACUAAAGUGAAAGAGCGAUCUCAGGUAUUUUGCUGUUGGUUUUUUUUUUUUGGUUUUUUUUUUUUUUCCCUUUCUGUUAGGCCAGAGCUUGCAUGA
rnacentral:lncRNA from 1 species